rnacentral:rRNA from 1 species
GACGAACGCUGGCGGCGUGCUUAACACAUGCAAGUCGAACGGAAAGGCCUGCUUUCCCUUGUGGAUUGCGGGUACUCGAGUGGCGAACGGGUGAGUAACACGUGAGUGAUCUGCCCCCAACUUGGGUAUAAGCCUGGGAAACUGGGUCUAAUUCCCGAUAGGACUGCAGGGUGGUGCCUGUGGUGGAAAACGAUUUUCUAGUGGUUGGGGAUGAGCUCGCGGCCUAUCAGCUUGUUGGUGGGGUAAUGGCCUACCAAGGCGGCGACGGGUAGCCGGCCUGAGAGGGUGGACGGCCACAUUGGGACUGAGAUACGGCCCAGACUCCUACGGGAGGCAGCAGUGGGGAAUAUUGCACAAUGGGCGGAAGCCUGAUGCAGCGACGCAGGGUGGGGGAUGACGGCCUUCGGGUUGUAAACUCCUUUCGACCGCGAGGAAGCCACCUGGUUGGAAGGGUGGUGACGGUAGUGGUAGAAGAAGCACCGGCUAACUACGUG